UACGACGGGGGCUAGCGUUGUUCGGAAUCACUGGGCGUACAGCGCACGCAGGCGGAUUCGUCAGUCAGGGGUGAAAGCCCGGGGCUCAACCUCGGAACUGCCUUUGAUACAGCUAAUCUCGAGUCCGGAAGAGGUGGGGGGAAUUCCUUGUGUAGAGGUGAAAUUCGUAGAGAUUAGGAAGAACACCAGUGGCGAAGGCGGCCCACUGGUCCGGUACUGACGCUGAGGUGCGGCAGCCUGGGGAGCUAACGGG
rnacentral:rRNA from 1 species